CAUACCCUGUCUAGAAUAAAUCCAUGGAAGGAACUUUCAUCAACUCCAAAAUCUUUCUGGAAUAUUGUUUUUGCUGGAGUUUUUACAUUUCUUUGUUUUUUUUCCCUUUGAAUUUUAUUUUUCAACACGCUCUUUGUCAACAACAAUUUCUUCCUUGAGUUGCAUAAGACUUGUUCUUUCUUUGAAAAGGUCUUCAACUUCGGGUCAACAAACAAAGCUAGAAAAAGCCCACGCGUGAGUCAAAGUGGAUCAAAUAAAGUUGAGCCCAUUUAAUAAUUGGGCCGGGUUGGUGAGAAGAAAAUGGAAAGGAUCCGGAUUGAGGUCCGUAAAGUCAAUUCGGGACUUCCGGUGCACCGCGAGAACAUGAUCGGACUCACAGUAACGCAAUUCGAAAUCGGAACUUUGGAAGAAGAAGAAGAAGAUCGAAUUGUCUUGAAAAGAUUUGGGUAUUCUUCGUCUUCUUGUUCUUUGUUAUUGAUCUUGAUCUUGAAGGCUUCCGUUUUUAUUGAAAGCCCAAUCAAACAAGAAUGGAUUUGUUGCCUUGCCCGUUCUGCAACCUCAACGUUCCCUCCUCCCAACUCCAAUGGCAUGCAAACAACCACUUCGAGGAUGAGCAGGAACAGCAGCAACUGGAUACCGACUUGGAGUUGGCCCAACAACUUGCUUUGGCCUCUCCUUCACCCCCACCUCCAUCUCAGGAACAGCAGCAACUGGAUACCGACUUGGAGUUGGCCCAACAACUUGCCUUGUCCCCUCCUUCACCCCCACCUCCAUCUCAGAAAAGCCAAAUGGUCAGUGACUUGCGAUCCGAAAUGGGUUGGUAUGAUGGAAACUGUGGUACUCAUGAAAAGAUAGCUUGCUUGAUUGCUUUACAGACUAGAAGCAACUUUUACAGAAUUGAAGGUGGUUUGAUGACCUUGUUGAGAAACUGUUUGGAAUUAGAAGCUGAAGAUACAACCAGUAUUUUAUCGGGUUAUGUUGACCAUUUCCAGAGCAUUGAAUCUGAGGAUGUUGGGUGGGGUUGUGGAUGGCGUAACAUCCAAAUGCUUAGCUCACACCUGCUUAUGCAAAGGCAAGAAGCUCGGGAGGUUUUGUUUGGUGGGUCUGGAUUCAUUCCUGAUAUUCCAUCACUCCAGAGAUGGCUUGAGAUUGCUUGGGAAAAGGGCUUUGAUGUGGCCGGCUCAGAGCAAUUUGGUAACAGAAUUUAUGGUUUGAAAAAAUGGAUUGGAACUACUGAAUGUGCUGCUCUAUUCCGUUCUUUUGGGUUCCUAGCAGUGAUAGUGGAUUUUGGUCCUAAGGAAUAUGAAUCACUCUAUCCUUGUGAUCCUAGUUCGAGUUCUGGGGCAGAGGUAAAGAGAAUAUAUAAUGGAGGGAAGAAGAAAGCCGUUAAGGUUCAUGGACCAAUGGAUAGAUAUCUUUUGCAAAGGAAUUGUGAUAUUGACCAAGCUUUUUCCUGUGGGAAUGAAAUGUCUACUUAUUCUGGUAGGGGAAAUACUUUACCAACAAAAAGUGAAGGCCAGCACGUUCUUACUGAUUGGGUCUGGAACUACUUUUCUGAUAAAAGCUCAGUAAAAUCUUAUAACCGUCAUGUAAUUUUGAGUGAGAAAACACCUUUGUACUUUCAACAUGAUGGACAUUCUAGAACCAUUGUGGGAAUUCAAGUCAGACAUCAACGAAAUGGGAUGCAGCAAUACAGUCUCUUAGUUUUAGACCCGGGUCAUAGAACAGUGACUCUGGAAAGAUCACUUAGAGAAAAAGCAGGAUGGCAGACGUAUAUAAAAAGAGGGGUUCACACACUGAGAAAGCAACAGUAUCAGCUGUGUUAUAUUGAUCCUGGAAUUGCUAGUGGGAGAGAUAUUGAGCUGCUCAAGACAAUUGAUAGUGCCUUCAUUGAACUUUAGUCGAACACUUCUGUGCUUCUAAAAGAAACUUUACAGUCCUUCCCAAUAUUGCCGAGCUCAGAGUACAAAAUGCAUGGCUGGCAGUUCAUUUUGGAGGUCUAUGAAAAGUUUCUGACAGGGAUGGUUCAGUGUGGAAUCCCCUCUUAUUAUUUAUUCUACCGAAGCAGGGGUUUUUUGGGGAUUUACUCUUUAUUCAUGCGUUAUGGGUCUCUAACGAUCAGUUGACAAGUUAUUUGUGUAUGCAUGGAAGAUUUGGCAUCAAAUGCACAACCAAGCAGUUUGGAUGCUGUUCCCCUAAGCCUUGUAUGGUUUAUUUUCUUGGGCUGAAACAGUAUAGAGUACUUCUGGAGGGCGUAGUGGAACCUGUACUGCUGCUGAUACAUGCACAUUCUUAUGUUUGUGCAUGUCAAUAGUGGAGGCAAAGGCUACUCCAAAUCUUAGAUUUCGUUGAUUCUUUGUAAAUAAUCCAUAGAUGUAUUUUGAUUCAUGUGAACGUAGUGUUUUUUUAUAUUCCCAGAGUAGUUGGCGGGUUUGUUUAGUUUUUAUUUUUUUAUUUUUUUAUUUUUUAAAGACUAAUCGGUUUUUGCUCCUUGGCAUAUAUAAAGAAUAGUAAAUCUUGUUGAA